CUCAAGUGCUUUGUCAGUAAGUUGAUGCAUCAAAAACCCCACUUUAGACCUAUCAGUGGGAAAGGAAUGAGGAUACAUCUCAAGGUGGAAUUCUAUUUGAUUAAUAAAACCUCUGCAUGUCUUGGCUUCCCCUCCAUACCUAGGAGGAGGUGUUAAAUGGGGCGAAGUAUUGGGUGAAUUGGAUACUUCGGCAGGAUGGGGUGUAGGAGGGUUAGGUG